CCUACGGGAGGCAGCAGUGGGGAAUAUUGGGCAAUGGGCGCAAGCCUGACCCAGCAACGCCGCGUGAAGGAAGAAGGCCCUCGGGUUGUAAACUUCUUUUGUCAGGGACGAAUUCUGACGGUACCUGACGAAUAAGCCACGACUAACUACGUGCCAGCAGCCGCGGUAAUA
rnacentral:rRNA from 1 species